rnacentral:misc_RNA from 1 species
GUGAAUCAUCGAAUCUUUGAACGCACAUUGCGCCCCCUGGCAUUCCGGGGGGCAUGCCCGUUCGAGCGUCAUUACACCACUCAAGCCUGGCUUGGUAUUGGGCGUCGGGAUGCACCCGCGCCUCCAUGUGAAUUCGGCUGGACGGUUUGGAUCUCAGCGUUGUGGCAACCAGUUCGCCGACGUGAAGGACCGGACGCGCCGUUAAACCUCCAUCAAAGGUUGACCUCGGAUCGGGUAGGGAUACCCGCUGAACUUAAGCAUAUCAAUAAGCGGAGGA